rnacentral:rRNA from 1 species
AUUGUGCACUACUGGUGGAGUCAGAUGGACAAGACAAAUAAGAUACACUGGGUAAGUCGGGAAGAAUUAAUGAAGCCAAAAGUGGACGGUCGUCUGGGUUUCAGAAAUUUACACUUCUUCAAUCUAGCCAUGUUGGCCAGGCAGGCAUGGAGAAUCCUACAACCCCAUUCACUCUGCUCACAAGUCUUGGCUGCUAGAUACUUCCCCAAUGGCUCAAUGCUAGAAGCCACACUAGUAGCAGGUAUCUCUUACACAUGGCGCGGCAUACUAAAAGGGAUGCAACUGCUGAAAAAAGGGAUUAUAUGGCGAGUGGGCAAUGGUGAGAACAUCAAAAUUUGGAGUGAUCCUUGGAUCCCUAGAGGAAUCACAAGGAGAAUUAGCACGCCCAGGGGAAGGAAUCUCACUACUAAGGUAUCUGAACUCAUUAACCCCAUCACCAACCAGUGGGAUGCAGAUCUGAUCCAACAGAUAUUCUGGCCGGAAGAUGCCCAAGUCAUCCUCCAAAUACCCCUACAAGAACAAACAGGUGAUUUCCUUGGAUGGCAUUAUGAUUAAAAAGGAGUCUUUUCUGUUAAAUCGGCAUAUAGGGAGGUUGUAGAUAGUGCAGCGAGAAAUUCAUCCUCUGGACUAACUUCAAGCUCUAAUGCAGAGAGGGAAAACUCAAGUUUCGAAUGGAAGAAGAUGUGGGCACUUUCUCCACCAAACAAAGUGCUACACUUCUUGUGGAGAGUUGCAACAUACAGCCUUCCGCUACAAACAAAACUACAACGAAAAGGUAUCCCUACUGACACCAGAUGCCCAAUAUGCUUGAGACUUGAUGAGGAUGGGGGUCAUAUUUUCUUAAAAUGCAAAAAAGUGAAAGAACUCUGGAGAGUAUCAUUACUUGAACACAUCAGACUUCAGCUUCUCCUCUAUCCAGAUUCAAAAACUUUUUGUGAGGAAAUAUUUAAACUCAAGGGUAAGGAAUGCUUAAAAGUUUGUUUCUUAUUGUGGCUGUGGUGGCAUGAAAGAAAUAAAGCAAACAUUGGUGAUACAAUGAGAACCGUCUCCGAAGUAUCAUCAUCUAUUGAGUAUCACCUACUUGACUGUAUUUCGUCCAGGUCACAAAGGAAUGAGCCGAAGAAGAAGAUGGAGCAAAAAUAG